rnacentral:rRNA from 1 species
UACGUAGGGUGCAAGCGUUUGUCCGGAAUUAUUGGGCGUAAAGAGCUCGUAGGCGGUCUGUCGCGUCUGCUGUGAAAACUCAGGGCUUAACCCUGAGCUUGCAGUGGGUACGGGCAGACUAGAGUGCGGUAGGGAGACUGGAAUUCCGUGGUGAUAGCGGUGAAAUGACGCAGAUAUCAGGAGGGAACACCGGUGGCGAAGGC